UAAAAAAUUUGGCGGUAUUUUAAUCUAUUCAGAGGAACUUGUUUUUUAAUCGACAUUACACGUUGUACCUUACUUAAAUUUGUUUAGUUUAUAUAUCGUCGUUAUUAGAAUAUUUUAUAAGAAUAAUAAUAUUCUUAAUUUUUUAAAAAAAGUAUAUCAGAUCAAGGUGUAGCUUAUAUUUAAGUAAAAAUGAGUUACAAUAAAGUUAUUUAUAUGAAUAUAAAUAUGAAAUAUUUAUUGAAGGUGGAUUUGAUAGUAAAAUUAUAAAGAUAAAUAAUUUGAUUAUAGUUCUAAAAUAUGUACAUAUCGCCCGUCACUCUUAUUAUUAAAAUAAGAUAAGUCGUAACAUAGUAGAUGUACUGGAAAGUGUAUCUAGAUACAAUUUAAAGCUUAUUAAGUAAAGUAUUUCAUUUACAUUGAGAAGAUUUUUGUGCAAAUCAAUAUAAAUUGAUUAAUUUAUAUUUAUUUAUUAUUUUAUUUUAAAAUUUAUAUUAUUAAAAAUAAUUAUAAAUCAAAAAUGUUUAAGUAUUUAAUAAAGAAAAAAUAAUAUUAAUUAUAGUUUAAUAGUAUUGUAAGAGAAAAUUGAAAUA
rnacentral:rRNA from 1 species